rnacentral:rRNA from 1 species
UGGCUCAGGAUGAACGCUGGCGGCGUGCCUAAUACAUGCAUGUCGAACGAAUCUCUUUUAGAGAUGAGUGGCGAACGGGUGAGUAAUACAUAGGUAACCUGCCCCUGUGCGGGGGAUAACAGGAGGAAACUCCUGCUAAUACCGCAUAGCCAUGAGCACCGCAUGGAGCUCAUGCCAAAUAUCCUUUAUGGGAUAGCGCAGGGAUGGACCUAUGGCGCAUUAGCUGGUUGGCGGGGCAACGGCCCACCAAGGCAACGAUGCGUAGCCGGCCUGAGAGGGCGGACGGCCACAUUGGGACUGAGACACGGCCCAGACUCCUACGGGAGGCAGCAGUAGGGAAUUUUCGGCAAUGGGGGAAACCCUGACCGAGCAACGCCGCGUGAGCGAAGAAGGCCUUCGGGUCGUAAAGCUCUGUUGUAAAGGAAGAACGGCGCAUACAGGAAAUGGUAUGCGAGUGACGGUACUUUACCAGAAAGCCACGGCUAACUACGUGCCAGCAGCCGCGGUAAUACGUAGGUGGCGAGCGUUAUCCGGAAUCAUUGGGCGUAAAGAGGGAGCAGGCGGCCGCAAGGGUCUGUGGUGAAAGACCGAAGCUAAACUUCGGUAAGCCAUGGAAACCGGGCGGCUAGAGUGCGGAAGAGGAUCGUGGAAUUCCAUGUGUAGCGGUGAAAUGCGUAGAUAUAUGGAGGAACACCAGUGGCGAAGGCGGCGGUCUGGGCCGCAACUGACGCUCAUUCCCGAAAGCGUGGGGAGCAAAUA